UAAACUUCCUAAAAGAGUAAUGUUCAAGAAAAUUAAAGUUUUUGGCGGUUAGAUCAAUUUAGAGGAGCUCGCUUAUGAAUCGAAUUUACUCGUUAUAUCUUAUUUAUUAAAGUUUAUUUAUCUCCGUUAUUAAGCUUUCUGCUUACCAUAUUAAUUAAAAUAACAUUUCAGGUCAAGAUAUAGCCAUAAUAAACUUAAGUUAGCUACCUUAACAAAAUGAAUCUAUAUAUAUAGAUAUAUAAAGAAAAUGAAUUUAACUGUAAUCCAUUUUAAAAUAAAAAGAUGAAUAAUAUCUUCUA
rnacentral:rRNA from 1 species